GACGAACGCUGGCGGCGUGCUUAACACAUGCAAGUCGAACGGAAAGGCCCUGUACUUGUGGGGUGCUCGAGUGGCGAACGGGGGAGUAUCACGUGUGUAACCUGUCCUUGACUUUGGGAUAACUUCAGGAAAAUGGGGUUAUUACCGGACAUGAGAUCCUGCUGCAUGGGGGGGGAGGGAAAGAGUCGCCGGUUGAGCAUGGACUCGCGGCUCAUCAGCUUGUUGGUGGGGUAGUGGCUUACCAAGGCAUCGACGGGUAGCCGGCCUGAGAGGGUGACCGGCCCCAUUGGGCCUCAGAUACGACCCGGACUCCUACGGGGGGCAGCAGUGGGAAAUAUUGCACACUGGGCGGAAGCCUGAUGCAGCGACGCCGCGUCCUGGAUGACGGCCUUCGGGUUGUAAACCGCGUUCGCCUGUGACGCAGCGUAAGUGACGGUAACGGGUAAAGAAGCAACGGCUAACUACGUG
rnacentral:rRNA from 1 species